CGUUGAAACACCAGUUUCUUUAUGAUCACUGAAGUUAAGCAAUGUCGAGCCUGCUCAGUACCUAGAUGGGUGACUGCUUGGGAAUACCAGGUGCU
rnacentral:rRNA from 1 species